rnacentral:rRNA from 1 species
CCUUCGGGGCCCAGUGGCGAACGGGUGCGUAACACGUNAGCAACCUGCCUUGGGGUGGGGGAUAACCCGGGGAAACCCGGGCUAAUACCGCAUGUCCUCGCUUUCUCCGCAUGGGGAUGCGAGGAAAGGGGCUCAAAAGGCCCUGCCUUGAGAGGGGCUCGCGGCGUAUCAGGUAGAUGGUGGGGUAAUGGCCUACCAUGCCUACGACGCGUAGCCGAUCUGAGAGGAUGAUCGGCCACAUUGGGACUGAGAUACGGCCCAGACUCCUACGGGAGGCAGCAGUGGGGAAUCUUGCGCAAUGGGCGAAAGCCUGACGCAGCGACGCCGCGUGCGGGAGGAAGCCCCUCGGGGUGUAAACCGCUGUCAGGAGGGAAGAAUGGCUGUCCGAGGAAAUGCGGGCAGUUUGACGGUACCUCCAGAGGAAGCACCGGCUAACUCUGUGCCAGCAGCCGCGGUAAUACAGAGGGUGCGAGCGUUGUUCGGAAUUACUGGGCGUAAAGCGCGCGCAGGCGGCCCUUUAAGUCUACCCGUGAAAUGCCGGAGCUCAACUCCGUGCACGCCGGGGGAUACUGGAGGGCUGGAGACAGGUAGAGGCAGGCGGAAUUCCGGGUGUAGCGGUGGAAUGCGUAGAGAUCCGGAAGAACACCAGAGGCGAAGGCGGCCUGCUGGGCCUUGUCUGACGCUGAGGCGCGAAAGCGUGGGGAGCGAACAGGAUUAGAUACCCUGGUAGUCCACGCCGUAAACGAUGGGCACUGGGCGCGGGGUGGGAUCGACCCCUUCCGUGCCGCAGCUAACGCGCUAAGUGCCCCGCCUGGGGAGUACGGCCGCAAGGCUGAAACUCAAAGGAAUUGACGGGGGCCCGCACAAGCGGUGGAGCAUGUGGUUUAAUUCGAAGCACG